UACGUAGGUGGCAAGCGUUAUCCGGAUUUAUUGGGCGUAAAGAGAACGCAGGCGGUCUUUUAAGUCUGAUGUGAAAGCCUUCGGCUUAACCGGAGUAGUGCAUUGGAAACUGGGAGACUUGAGUGCAGAAGAGGAGAGUGGAACUCCAUGUGUAGCGGUGAAAUGCGUAGAUAUAUGGAAGAACACCAGUGGCGAAAGCGGCUCUCUGGUCUGUAACUGACGCUGAGGUUCGAAAGCGUGGGUAGCAAACAGU
rnacentral:rRNA from 1 species